UACGUAGGUGGCAAGCGUUGUCCGGAUUUACUGGGCGUAAAGAGCGCGCAGGCGGUCGUUCAAGUCGCGUGUGAAAGCCCCCGGCUCAACUGGGGAGGGUCACGCGAUACUGAUCGACUCGAAGGCAGGAGAGGGUAGUGGAAUUCCCGGUGUAGUGGUGAAAUGCGUAGAUAUCGGGAGGAACACCGAUGGCGAAGGCAGGUCUCUGGGCAUUAACUGACGCUGAGGAGCGAAAGCAUGGGGAGCGAACAGG
rnacentral:rRNA from 1 species